rnacentral:snRNA from 1 species
GGAUAUGAAGGCAAUCUGACUGCAACGUCUGUCACCUCAUUGAUCAUCAGGGUUAAUUCAGCUGAUGUGGCUGGUAGACAGGUGUCCCCUUCCUUCCUUAUUAUUCUAAAUAUGUUCCUCCUGAAGCUGUGCGCUGGGUCAAAGAGGACUGCCUUCCAAAAUAGACCAGUCUUUGGUCAAAGGUGUAUGAGUAGGUAUACAGACAGUAUUUCUGUCACUUCAGUAUUUUUUGGUUUCCUGCACUUCUUUGUGGAUGGUUAAAACAUACAUAGUAU